rnacentral:rRNA from 1 species
UGGGGGAUAUUGGACAAUGGGGGCAACCCUGAUCCAGCGACGCCGCGUGAGGGAAGAAGGUUUUCGGAUUGUAAACCUCUGUUGACGGAGAAAAAAAUGAUGGUAUCCGUUUAGAAAGCCACGGCUAACUACGUGCCAGCAGCCGCGGUAAUACGUAGGUGGCAAGCGUUGUCCGGAAUUACUGGGUGUAAAGGGAGUGUAGGCGGGAUAUCAAGUCAGAAGUGAAAAUUACGGGCUCAACUCGUAACCUGCUUUUGAAACUGACAUUCUUGAGUGAAGUAGAGGCAAGCGGAAUUCCUAGUGUAGCGGUGAAAUGCGUAGAUAUUAGGAGGAACACCAGUGGCGAAGGCGGCUUGCUGGGCUUUUACUGACGCUGAGGCUCGAAAGCGUGGGGAGCAAACA